rnacentral:rRNA from 1 species
UGGACGAAAGUCUGACGGAGCAACGCCGCGUGUACGAUGAAGGCCUUCGGGUUGUAAAGUACUGUCUUCAGGGACGAACGGUAGGUAUGAAAAUAUUGUACUUACAUGACGGUACCUGAGGAGGAAGCCCCGGCUAACUACGUGCCAGCAGCCGCGGUAAUACGUAGGGGGCAAGCGUUGUCCGGAAUCAUUGGGCGUAAAGGGCGCGUAGGCGGAUAUUUAAGUCUGGUGUGAAAACCUAGGGCUCAACCCUGGGACUGCAUCGGAAACUGGGUAUCUUGAGGACAGGAGAGGAAAGUGGAAUUCCACGUGUAGCGGUGAAAUGCGUAGAGAUGUGGAGGAACACCAGUGGCGAAGGCGGCUCUCUGGUCUGUAACUGACGCUGAGGCGCGAAAGCGUGGGGAGCGAACAGGAUUAGAUACCCUGGUAGUCCACGCCGUAAACGAUGAGUGCUAAGUGUUAGAGGGUUUCCGCCCUUUAGUGCUGCAGCAAACGCAUUAAGCACUCCGCCUGGGGAGUACGGC